rnacentral:rRNA from 1 species
AUGGCUCAAGUUCUUCACAGCCUCCAUGAGCCCCAAGUCCUUGUGCUCAUCGUAUGCCCUCUUAUCCUCCUCCUCCUCAUCGUUCGGCUUGCCACAUCCACGACAACCACAAGGAGAGCAGACAAGCUGCUCGAUAGACUCCCAUCGCCUCCCUACAAGCUCCCUCUCAUCGGCCACCUCCACCUCGUCGGUUCACUGCCCCACAUUUCCCUCCGCAGUCUCGCUAAGAAGCAUGGCCUGGAUGUCAUGCUUCUACGCCUUGGCGCCGUCCCCAGCCUCGUUGUGUCGUCCGCUCGUGCAGCCAUGGCAGUUCUCCGCACGCACGACCAUGUGUGUGCGUCCCGGGUGCAGUCCGCUGUGACUGACGUCCUCUUCUAUGGGUCAACUGAUAUGGCCUUCUCCCCAUAUGGGGAUCACUGGCGCCAGAUUAGAAAGAUUGUCGCAACACAUCUUCUUGGUUCGAAGAAAGUUGGCUCCUACCGUCUCGCCCGUGAAAAAGAGGUACAACACACUCUGGCGAGGAUCCGCGAGGCAACCGCCAGGAGCGAUGCAGUGGACCUUAGUAAGCUGCUUAGCUCGUUCACCACUGAUAUUGUUUGCCAUGCUGUGUCGGGCAAGUCCUUCAGAGGGGGCGGUCGGAACGAGUUGUUCCGCGAGCUGGUAGAGACUAGCUCGAUGCUCAUAGGUGGGUUCAACCUGGAGACUACUUCCCCAAGUUGGCAAGGCUGGACGUGGUAA